rnacentral:rRNA from 1 species
GGUGGAUGCCCUGGCAGUCAGAGGCGAUGAAGGGCGUACUAAUCUGCGAUAAGCGCCGGUAAGGUGAUAUGAACCGUUAUAACCGGCGAUACCCGAAUGGGGAAACCCAGUGUGAUUCGUCACACUAUCAUUAACUGAAUCCAUAGGUUAAUGAGGCGAACCGGGGGAACUGAAACAUCUAAGUACCCCGAGGAAAAGAAAUCAACCGAGAUUCCCCCAGUAGCGGCGAGCGAACGGGGAGGAGCCCAGAGCCUGAAUCAGCAUGUGUGUUAGUGGAAGCGUCUGGAAAGGCGCGCGAUACAGGGUGACAGCCCCGUACACAAAAGCGCAUGUGCUGUGAGCUCGAUGAGUAGGGCGGGACACGUGGUAUCCUGUCUGAAUAUGGGGGGACCAUCCUCCAAGGCUAAAUACUCCUGACUGACCGAUAGUGAACCAGUACCGUGAGGGAAAGGCGAAAAGAACCCCGGCGAGGGGAGUGAAAAAGAACCUGAAACCGUGUACGUACAAGCAGUGGGAGCACAGGUUUACCUGUGUGACUGCGUACCUUUUGUAUAAUGGGUCAGCGACUUAUAUUCUGUAGCAAGGUUAACCGAAUAGGGGAGCCGGAGGGAAACCGAGUCUUAAUUGGGCGUUAAGUUGCAGGGUAUAGACCCGAAACCCGGUGAUCUAGCCAUGGGCAGGUUGAAGGUUGGGUAACACUAACUGGAGGACCGAACCGACUAAUGUUGAAAAAUUAGCGGAUGACCUGUGGCUGGGGGUGAAAGGCCAAUCAAACCGGGAGAUAGCUGGUUCUCCCCGAAAGCUAUUUAGGUAGCGCCUCGUGAAUUCAUCUCCGGGGGUAGAGCACUGUUUCGGCUAGGGGGCCAUCCCGGCUUACCAACCCGAUGCAAACUGCGAAUACCGGAGAAUGUUAUCACGGGAGACACACGGCGGGUGCUAACGUCCGUCGUGAAGAGGGAAACAACCCAGACCGCCAGCUAAGGUCCCAAAGUCAUGGUUAAGUGGGAAACGAUGUGGGAAGGCCCAGACAGCCAGGAUGUUGGCUUAGAAGCAGCCAUCAUUUAAAGAAAGCGUAAUAGCUCACUGGUCGAGUCGGCCUGCGCGGAAGAUGUAACGGGGCUAAACCAUGCACCGAAGCUGCGGCAGCGACACUGUGUGUUGUUGGGUAGGGGAGCGUUCUGUAAGCCUGUGAAGGUGUGUCGUGAGGCAUGCUGGAGGUAUCAGAAGUGCGAAUGCUGACAUAAGUAACGAUAAAGCGGGUGAAAAGCCCGCUCGCCGGAAGACCAAGGGUUCCUGUCCAACGUUAAUCGGGGCAGGGUGAGUCGACCCCUAAGGCGAGGCCGAAAGGCGUAGUCGAUGGGAAACGGGUUAAUAUUCCCGUACUUGGUGUUACUGCGAAGGGGGGACGGAGAAGGCUAUGUUGGCCGGGCGACGGUUGUCCCGGUUUAAGCGUGUAGGUGUGUGUUCCAGGUAAAUCCGGUUCACUUUAACACUGAGGCGUGACGACGAGGCACUACGGUGCUGAAGCAACAAAUGCCCUGCUUCCAGGAAAAGCCUCUAAGCAUCAGGUAACAUCAAAUCGUACCCCAAACCGACACAGGUGGUCAGGUAGAGAAUACCAAGGCGCUUGAGAGAACUCGGGUGAAGGAACUAGGCAAAAUGGUGCCGUAACUUCGGGAGAAGGCACGCUGACACGUAGGUGAAGUGAUUUACUCAUGGAGCUGAAGUCAGUCGAAGAUACCAGCUGGCUGCAACUGUUUAUUAAAAACACAGCACUGUGCAAACACGAAAGUGGACGUAUACGGUGUGACGCCUGCCCGGUGCCGGAAGGUUAAUUGAUGGGGUCAGCGCAAGCGAAGCUCCUGAUCGAAGCCCCGGUAAACGGCGGCCGUAACUAUAACGGUCCUAAGGUAGCGAAAUUCCUUGUCGGGUAAGUUCCGACCUGCACGAAUGGCGUAAUGAUGGCCAGGCUGUCUCCACCCGAGACUCAGUGAAAUUGAACUCGCUGUGAAGAUGCAGUGUACCCGCGGCAAGACGGAAAGACCCCGUGAACCUUUACUAUAGCUUGACACUGAACAUUGAGCCUUGAUGUGUAGGAUAGGUGGGAGGCUUUGAAGUGUGGACGCCAGUCUGCAUGGAGCCGACCUUGAAAUACCACCCUUUAAUGUUUGAUGUUCUAACGUGGACCCGUUACCCGGGUUGCGGACAGUGUCUGGUGGGUAGUUUGACUGGGGCGGUCUCCUCCUAAAGAGUAACGGAGGAGCACGAAGGUUGGCUAAUCCUGGUCGGACAUCAGGAGGUUAGUGCAAUGGCAUAAGCCAGCUUGACUGCGAGCGUGACGGCGCGAGCAGGUGCGAAAGCAGGUCAUAGUGAUCCGGUGGUUCUGAAUGGAAGGGCCAUCGCUCAACGGAUAAAAGGUACUCCGGGGAUAACAGGCUGAUACCGCCCAAGAGUUCAUAUCGACGGCGGUGUUUGGCACCUCGAUGUCGGCUCAUCACAUCCUGGGGCUGAAGUAGGUCCCAAGGGUAUGGCUGUUCGCCAUUUAAAGUGGUACGCGAGCUGGGUUUAGAACGUCGUGAGACAGUUCGGUCCCUAUCUGCCGUGGGCGCUGGAGAACUGAGGGGGGCUGCUCCUAGUACGAGAGGACCGGAGUGGACGCAUCACUGGUGUUCGGGUUGUCAUGCCAAUGGCACUGCCCGGUAGCUAAAUGCGGAAGAGAUAAGUGCUGAAAGCAUCUAAGCACGAAACUUGCCCCGAG